UGGUAUGUGCCACAGCCAGUACAUGAACAUUCGCACCUGAGACGGUCCCAUCGGGCCUGCUCCCUGCCUACAGGCCGCUGUCCAUCUGGAUCUUAACUACCAUCCAAAAUAAAAAACAUCAUCAUGUAA